AGAAAAGAUGUAACAUGAUUAUGAAACACAUUCUCAUUAAAGUGGAAAUUAACACCUGGUCAAAAAUAUAUGAUGGCUGAAAAACAAUUUUUUUGAGGGGUAACUUCUCUAGGGGAAUGAUUAUUUUUCUUUGAAAGUGUAAAGGUUUAUAUCUCAAGUUUAAGACUUAACUAUAUUAUCAAACCCUCAUGGCACCACAUACAUCACAUCACUUGCCUAAUUCAAUGGUUUUCAAAGUGUGGUCCCUGGAAUAACAGCAUUAGCAUUGCUUGGGAACCUGUUAGAAAUACAAAUUCUUGGCCCCACUCCAGAACUACUGAAUCAAAAAUUAUGGAGAUGGGGCCCAGUACUGUGAUUCUUUUGCUUCCUAUAGUUUGAGAACCAUUGGCCUAAUUUACUGAUUAAAAUGGGAAACUUUCCUGUACAAUUUUAGAAUAAAAUUAUUCAUACAAAAUAAAUCAACAGUUAUAAGAUUACUUACAAAAAUGGGAGCAUUUAGUCAUCAACUCAACAAGGUAAAAUACUUCAAUUAUUUCAAGGUGUGUAUAUUAUGGCACCUCUCUCUUAUCACAAGUAACCUGGGUUUUACUAAAUGAUGAACAAUCAUACUCAUUCUGAAUUCAAUUACCCAAGCACAGUGUUCUCCAUAUGGCUUCUCUUAGCCUCAGGGUAUUACCACUAACAUAGGAGAGUAAAAGGAAUAAUUGUCCUCUCCAAAAGAACACAGCUUGAAAUAUAGUCAAAGGUCAAAGGGAUUAUUGGAAAAAUGAUACGGGAAAUUAUUGUACUUAGACCACAAAGGAAACCACUCUCAAAUGUUUUCCAUGUGGGUUUUAAAAUCAUUCCAGAACACUGAGUUGAAACUGUGAUUUGAUUAAAAAGUGUCAAGGCAACUUAGUUAGAUGUAGCCAUUUCUAAUGGACAAGUAUAGGUUUGCCAAAUAGCUUAAGCAGUCUUUAGAGAGCCAUACAGGAAAAGAUACAAAAUCUACCAAGCAAAACUAAAGAAGCAUAAAAGCAGAUAUAAAGAACCUCUUGGUACUCCAGGUUGGUAUGACAAGGCCAGAACAGGGAUUCUGAAUGGACAGCACAGGGAACAGAUAAAUUUCAAAAUUCAAUCAAUGAAAAAGAAAAAAUUGCAAACUAGUGAUAAGGAGUAAGAGGACAGGCCAGAACGCUUUAAAUGUAGAACAGAUCUUAAAUAACAGAACACCUAAUACUAAAACCGCCACCUAUCCUCAAUCAAUGUAUCUGAACUGCUUUUACCAAAAAGGGAGAUGGAUUUUUACAUUCUUUGGUUUGGUUCCACUUAUGACUAACUGGUUACAUGAUUGUCCUGGCUUGGAAACUCAGCCUCUGGCCAUGGACCAGAACUAAAUAAAAUACACUCCAUACAUUAGUACUCCCCAUCUUAAAAACAAAACAGAACUCUCUUCUGGAGAGGGGAGAGAAUGGGAAAGGCCUAAGGAUGCUAAAAACUUCUUAUGCCAUUAUAGGAACUGAGCAGAUAUUGGUCUAAACUUGUUGAAUCAAUUGACAGAAAUAUUUGGAUAUUAUUUACAAAUAUGGAGAUAUGUUCCAGAAGACACAGCUUAAAAGUUGGGAAUAGUUGCCUCUGGGGAUCAGGGGAGGGAAAGUGAGGUGGGGGACUAUUGUUUUAAAGCUUUUUAGCACAACUUGCCUUUAUGUGUCUGUAUGAUGUUUUAAAAAAAAAAAACACAAACUCACUCAAUUUCACAUCUCCUGCCUGUAAGUACCUCUCUCUCUCUCCACUCCCCUGCAUGGUCAAACCUCUUGAAAAAAACUAAUAGAACAUGUUGAGCUCUUAUUCACCACCGUAUGCUAGUGCCUAGCAACUGCCUGGUCAAUAAAUGAAUGAACAAAUUGACUAAUCCACACCAGAACCAGGACACUAGCCUGUUUAGCACCUGGGACAAAUUCUAAGCCAACGUGAGCCAUAGGACAGAAAACAAAGUGACAAAAUAUUUUAAAGACAGUUGACAAGUAACCCAAUAAACUUCAAUGGCAUUAAUAAACACGUACUAUAUGAUCACCACAGAAUCUCAGGAGAGGACCUCAAAAAUUAUUAGUUUUGCCACCUUAAAGAGGCUUAAAGUCUAUUAUAUUGUCACCAAGUGCUUUUUCAGCCUCUACUUUAAAAACUCAAGGGACUGAUGAAUUGCUUUGAUUAACUGACUGAGCUCUUCAGUCAAGACAUACUUUUGAAUUUCUGCCAUGCUCUCAGCAGUGUUCUAAGAAUUGUGAAAACAAGCUUCCUGCUCAAAAUUCUACCAGGGAGAGACAGACAGUAAUCAGGCAAGUAAACAAACAAGGUAACUACAGAGUUGUGGUGGAGAGAGAGUAAGCGUGUUUCAAUAGAAUGAUCAGGGAAGGAUAACAUUUGAGUGAGAGGAAAGACUGAGAAGCUAAGGGAAAAUCUGAGGAAAAGAAGACUAGAAAGGAACAGAAUGUGCCAGGGCCCCGAGAUAGGAAAGAAACUGACAUAUUCAAGGAACAAAAAAGCCAGUGUGAUUAGGAUGUAUUGAGUGAAGAAGAGAGACUACAAGACAAGGUGGGAAUCAGAUCAUGCGGGUCCUUGGUUAAGAGUCUGGAUUUUACUGUAUGCCAGGGGUGUCCAACCUUUUGGCUUCCCUGGGCCCCAGUGGAAGAAGAACUGUCUUGGGGCACACAUAAAAUACACUAACACUAAUGACAGCUAAUGAGCUAAAAACAAAAACAAAAAACAAACAAACAAAAACUUUGUGUAUAAUUUUCACGAUAUCCGCCACCACAGACAAGAAAAAAAGUCCUUGACAAAGGGUUGGACACGGCUGCUCUAAACACAAUGGAAGCACUGGUGGAUUGUAAGCGAAGACGUAUUACGUGAUUAAAGUUUCAAAAAGCAUACUUCACAAGAAAAACGGACUGUAUGGAGGUAAUGGUCGAAAACAAAGCCUUAAGGCUGAUAUAGUAACCCAGACAAGAGAUGAAGGUGGUUUGGGCCAAGUUAGAAGAAACAAUGGUAAUGGAUGGAUUUGAAAUAGAAUGAGGCCUAUAAGCGGCUAGAAACUGAGUGUUUAUUUGAUCUGUACAAAGCUCUGACUGGAAAAACUUCCUGAUACCGAACUAAAAUUCAUCUCGCGAUCACUUGUAUUCCUUGGGGACAAAAAGUCUUAUUCCAGGGACAAGUGACAGCUCUUCAAAUGUUUGAAAGUAACUAUGUCUCCCAGUAUCUCCAACGAUCUCCUUAACCAAUCCUCGUAAAAAUAAACUUUCGAUCGCCUUACCAUUCAGAUUACUGUCUUCUGCUCACCAGUCUGUUUACAAUAAAAUGCUUUUUUUUCGUGGGUCAAGCACAGAGUAGGAAAAUGAGAAAAGGGUAUGUAAGCAGGCAAGGGAAAAAAGUACCAAGGCUCUGGACAGCUACAAGCAAGUCAACCUGUCGGGGGAGCUGAAGUCUCCAUUGAAACUUGAUCUCUGUAACUUACUCCAUUGCAAAAGUCACUACGUGAAUCUACCUAUGCAAUGGUUUGCGUGUAUGAAACCUGCUCCGCAGAUCCAUCCACCUUUCUUGAAUGUACAAUCAACAGACUGAGCACAUAACCUCGAAAGGGUCCUCUUUUCCCCUGACGGCAGUGGGUUCUUCGCUUCUAAUACAUCUUCAGAAAUUUGAAAUGGCAGUUGCAAUGGCCAUUUGCAGUCUUAUACUAGCUUCAAUAAGCCAAUUUAUUUCAAGAGUCAGUACUGAGAAAGUCUUGACAAAGAAUAGUGGCAAACGGUAGCAUUUUUUCAGCCACUGGCCAUGCACUAUCAAGUUAAACUCUUCAAUCGGACAGCGAUGGCAAGUUCAUUUCUACGGCCUUCUACCUAACCUAGGGGCACAAUCAAUGUCUUGUGGCUGCCAGUGAAUUAAAUGUGCUUGAUAACACA